rnacentral:rRNA from 1 species
UACGUAGGGGGCUAGCGUUGUCCGGAAUCAUUGGGCGUAAAGCGCGCGUAGGCGGCCCGGUAAGUCCGUUGUGAAAGUCAAAGGCUCAACCUUUGAAAGCCGAUGGAUACUGUGAAGCUAGAGUACGGAAGAGGCGAGUGGAAUUCCUGGUGUAGCGGUGGAAUGCGCAGAUAUCAGGAGGAACACCAAUAGCGAAGGCAGCUCGCUGGGACGUUACUGACACUGAGGCGCGAAAGCGUGGGGAGCGAACAGG